rnacentral:rRNA from 1 species
AUUGAACGCUGGCGGCAGGCCUAACACAUGCAAGUCGAGCGGUUGAAGGGAGCUUGCUCCUGUAUUCAGCGGCGGACGGGUGAGUAAUGCCUAGGAAUCUGCCUGGUAGUGGGGGAUAACGUCCGGAAACGGGCGCUAAUACUGCAUACGUCCUGAGGGAGAAAGUGGGGGAUCUUCGGACCUCACGCUAUCAGAUGAGCCUAGGUCGGAUUAGCUAGUUGGUGGGGUAAAGGCCUACCAAGGCGACGAUCCGUAACUGGUCUGAGAGGAUGAUCAGUCACACUGGAACUGAGACACGGUCCAGACUCCUACGGGAGGCAGCAGUGGGGAAUAUUGGACAAUGGGCGAAAGCCUGAUCCAGCCAUGCCGCGUGUGUGAAGAAGGUCUUCGGAUUGUAAAGCACUUUAAGUUGGGAGGAAGGGCAGUAAGUUAAUACCUUGCUGUUUUGACGUUACCAACAGAAUAAGCACCGGCUAACUUCGUG